rnacentral:rRNA from 1 species
UGGAGUGACAUUACUGGAGGGGCUACACCCGUUCCCAUUUCGAAUACGGUAGUUAAGCCCUCCAAGGCCGAUGGUACUACACUGGCAACGGUGCGGGAGAGUAGGUAGUUGCUCUGG